GGCAGCAAUAUCUAGGCCAACAAGAAGGACCUAUUUCCUGCAUAUAUGCUAGUUUUGUUAUAACUGAAAUCAAUAAUGGUAAUAAUGAUAGAGGGGCUGACACACACACAGUAAAGUGUAUUUCUGUACAUUGCAGGGCCACGCAAGAAGCCAUGCAGCUUCUUCUUGGAGGGUCACUGUAAAAGGGCGGACUGUAAAUUUUCUCAUGAUCUCACCCAGAUAACCUGUAGGUUCUGGGAAGAAGGGUGCUGCUUCAAGGGUCUUACUUGUCCUUUCCUGCAUGGGUACCAAAGGGAAUCAAGUUCUUACGACUCUGGUUUAGAAAAGUUCCAGCUAAAUGAGGAAGACUUCCCAGAAUUGCAUAAGGGGGAUGCUCCAUGGACCUCCAACACUCAGGAACAGAAAGUAGAUGCCUUGUCACACCUGUUGCAGCAUGAAGCGCCUUGCAAGCCUCCAGUGUGACGAUGUAGUGUGUUAGAUGGUAUUAUUUUAUAUUGCUACCGGUAGAUGUCUCUGUAAGUAAAGUG